rnacentral:rRNA from 1 species
AACGAACGCUGGCGGCAUGCCUAACACAUGCAAGUCGAACGAGACCUUCGGGUCUAGUGGCGCACGGGUGCGUAACGCGUGGGAACCUGCCCUUAGGUUCGGAAUAACUCCCCGACAGGGGUGCUAAUACCGGAUAAUGUCUUCGGCCCAAAGAUUUAUCGCCUUUGGAUGGGCCCGCGUUGGAUUAGCUGGUUGGUAGGGUAAAAGCCUACCAAGGCGACGAUCCAUAGCUGGUCUGAGAGGAUGAUCAGCCACACUGGGACUGAGACACGGCCCAGACUCCUACGGGAGGCAGCAGUGGGGAAUAUUGGACAAUGGGCGAAAGCCUGAUCCAGCAAUGCCGCGUGAGUGAUGAAGGCCUUAGGGUUGUAAAGCUCUUUUACCCGGGAUGAUAAUGACAGUACCGGGAGAAUAAGCUCCGGCUAACUCCGUG